GCAAGUCGAACGGUAACAUGAGAGCUUGCUCUUGAUGACGAGUGGCGCACGGGUGCGUAACGCGUAUACAAUCUACCUUUUACAGUAGGAUAGCCUUUAGAAAUGGAGAUUAAUACUCCAUGGUAUUAUUGAUUGGCAUCAAUUAAUAAUUAAAGCUUCGGUGGUAAAAGAUGAGUAUGCGUUCUAUUAGCUAGAGGGGGUGGUAACGGCACACAAUGGCAACGAUAGAUAGGGGCCAUGAGAGGGGGAUC
rnacentral:rRNA from 1 species